rnacentral:rRNA from 1 species
GUCUAUGGCCAUGCUACCCUGAACAAGCCCGAUCCCGUCUGAUCUUGGAAGCUAAGCAUGGUUGAGCCUGGUUAGUACUUGGAUGGGAGACCACCUAGGAAGACCAGGUGCUGUAGGCG